rnacentral:rRNA from 1 species
GCGCGGGCUUCGGCCUGGCGGCGAGUGGCGAACGGGUGAGUAAUACAUCGGAACGUGCCCUGUCGUGGGGGAUAACUAGUCGAAAGAUUAGCUAAUACCGCAUACGACCUGAGGGUGAAAGCGGGGGACCGCAAGGCCUCUCGCGAGAGGAGCGGCCGAUGUCUGAUUAUCUAUUUGGGGGGGUAAAAGCCUACCAAGGCGACAAUCACUAGCUGGGCUGAGAGGACGAUCACCCACACUGGGACUGAGACACGGCCCACACUCCUACGGGAGGCAGCAGUGGGGAAUUUUGGACAAUGGGGGCAACCC